AAUAAAUUCACAUAAAAACACACCAGAAGAUCUCCGAUUUUAUUUACAAAGAUCAUAUUUUGUUAUUUAUUGAUAAAACAAGCCAUUUUACCACAGCAGGUGACACAUAUUAGGCCUGAAUAAGACUUUAGAAUUUGAAGUGGUGGUGACGAUGCCGAUAUCCAAGAUGGCGGAAUUAUACCAGUGGUCAAAUCUCAUCUAGUUUGGGUAAUUGCAUCAUUAUUUCUUUUUGUGAUUGGUGAUUUGUAAAAUUGAGAAUGAUUGAAAAAUCAGUAUUUUUUCACCCAAAGGCAUGAGUGAACAUUUGAUAAGUUUAUUGUGAUUUAAUUGGUAAUUUGGUCGACAUUUUGACAAUUAUAUUUAGCAAUAUUUCGAUAAAUGCGGACCUGCUUCUUCCUCUUUUCGCAGUAACGGUGUUUCGAUAACUCAGUUAGACUUCGAGAUCUACAUUUUCGACAAAGGCCUGGUGUAAUAUUACAUACUUGAUGAAGGUUUAAUGACACGAAUGAGUACAAGUACAUUACAUUUUUCGACGAAGGCCUUCUGUAAUUUCAUACACUUCUUACGCAACAUUCAAUAGGUUUAUUUACUGUAUUAUCAUUUCGACCAAGGCGAAUUCGACACUUCAGUUACACAAGGUUAGUAACUUUUGUUCACAAAAUCCAAAUGGAGGCAAAUACAGAACAAUCAAACUUAGUCAUUCCAGUCAGUUACUGAAGCACAGUGAAAACUGUCGGGAGCAAUGCAACUGAUGGCAUGUCAAACUUCCAGUGACUGUCCCUGUCCAUAUAUUUCAAGACAGUACAAAUCUUGUAAUCAUUUUGUUUAUGCAAUGUACGUUAUUAUGUAUCAUUUCAGCACAAUCAAACUUAGUCAUUCCAGUCAGUUACUGAAGCACAGCGAAAACUGUCUGAAUUAGUGCUGCUGAUGGCAUGUAAUUACUCUACUACCACUACCAGUGACAGUCAAUGUCCAUAUAUUUUCAAGUGUGCGAAAUUAGUACUCGUCUACUUCUUAGUGUUAUUUGAAUGCAAUGUAUGUCAUAAAAAUAUUUUUUCAACACUAUAUCAACAUUCUCAUUCCUGUCAGUUUCUGAAAAUCAGCUAAAGCAAUCGCUACCAAUGCAGCUGAUAACAGCAAUUCUUUUUGUUCCCAAUGCCCAUCCAUGACAAUAUAUUUCACGCAUGUGACAAUCAUGUAAUCAUCCUGUUUUUUGUGUUCUAUUCAUGCAAUAAAUAAAUUCAGUAUUUUCAAAUCAUUGGUGCUACAAAACUAUUCUCAUUAUAUAUUAUUCAUAUUUUAUAAAAUGCUGUCAUGUCAAAUUUUGUGUCCUAUAAAUCAUUAUGAAGUCGGCAUUUUAUAUACAACUUUUGUACUCCUCCUAAAUAAACAUACAAAUCUUGUUUUAUGUAAACUUUGUAUAUGUGACCCGUCACAGCAAAACCAGGUGCAUGUCGCUCUGAGCUUGGCAGGUUGAGACGGACUGUUCUAAUCUUUCAUUAGCGACACCAUUUCUUACCCGAGUGCCUCCUUCAUUCAUACAUCUUGUACUUUAACUCAAGAUACCCAUCUUUGAAUAUUUUUAGUAUACCAAGUACUACAAUGUCAAUGUAUUGAAGUCAUGUUCUUGUAGUGUUAUUGGCUUUCUAUUAUCUUGUCAAAAUACCACUUGGUUCUCGCAAAAUCUCAAUAAAAACAAAUGCUAUUGCAUGUAUUGCAUAUUCUAACAGCUAUCCACUGUAUCGAUUUAUCCAUCAUCUGUACUAUUUGUCACAAAAAUGUUAUAUUAUGUAAAUCAUAUUUCAUUACAUAAUGCACACUGCCAAUUACUGCUGAACCAUUCAUAUGUCAUUUAAAUAAAUAAUUUUUCAACUUUUUAAAACCGUCUUAUAGUACUGUUCUUGUCACUUAGCUGAACCAAUUGCUCUAUAGCAUGAAAUUUCCAGAAAUGCCCCAGGGACUGAAAAGUGCUGUUUUAACAGA